AGGGCACCACCAGGAGUGGAGCCUGCGGCUUAAUUUGACUCAACACGGGAAAUCUCACCAGGCCCGGACACCGGUAGGAUUGACAGAUUGAGAGCUCUUUCUUGAUUCGGUGGGUGGUGGUGCAUGGCCGUUCCUAGUUGGUGGAGCGAUUUGUCUGGUUAAUUCCGAUAACGAACGAGACUCUGGCCUACUAACUAGACGAUAGAUCCCUUCGUGGGUCUAUCGCAGCUUCUUAGAGGGACGGGCGGCGUUUAGCCGCACGAGAUUGAGCAAUAACAGGUCUGUGAUGCCCUUAGAUGUUCUGGGCUGCACGCGCGCUACACUGAAGGAAUCAGCGUGUGUUCCCUACCCGAAAGGGUUGGGAAACCCGUUGAACCUCCUUCGUGAUGGGGAUUGGGGAUUGCAAUUAUUCCCCAUGAACGAGGAAUUCCCAGUAGGCGCGAGUCAUAAGCUCGCGUCGAUUACGUCCCUGCCCUUUGUACACACCGCCCGUCGCUACUACCGAUCGAGUUAUUUAGU
rnacentral:rRNA from 1 species